AACGAACGCUGGCGGCAUGCCUAACACAUGCAAGUCGAACGAGACCUUCGGGUCUAGUGGCGCACGGGUGCGUAACGCGUGGGAACCUGCCCUUAGGUUCGGAAUAACUCCCCGAAAGGGGUGCUAAUACCGGAUAAUGUCUUCGGACCAAAGAUUUAUCGCCUUUGGAUGGGCCCGCGUUGGAUUAGCUAGUUGGUAGGGUAAAAGCCUACCAAGGCGACGAUCCAUAGCUGGUCUGAGAGGAUGAUCAGCCACACUGGGACUGAGACACGGCCCAGACUCCUACGGGAGGGAGCAGUGGGGAAUAGUGGACAAUGGGGGAAAGCCUGAUCCAGCAAUGCCGCGUGAGUGAUGAAGGCCUUAGGGUUGUAAAGCUCUUUUACCCAGGAUGAUAAUGACAGUACCGGGAGAAUAAGCUCCGGCUAACUCCGUG
rnacentral:rRNA from 1 species